GUAUGCGGUUUCUACUGAACACAGAUGGCUUUUACACCAUCCUAAAGUUGAAAAAGCUGAAGUGGCAUCAUCCUAAAUCAAGGCCCAUCCGUUCUCUAGAAUGGGGUUUGCCUCUACUCUUCUCAGACCCUGUAAGGGCAGCCCAAGUCGAGCUCGGUCUCCCAGCUCCUCUGUCCCUGCCACUUCCUCCUUUCCUGGGUCAAGGCCUUGAUCCUCCUCCACCACUAUUUCAAUUUACCCGCUCCAGUCAACUGCCACUUUUCCCUUUUCCUUCCUUUAUCCCAAACCCACCACUGAUGCAUUUCUUUCCCAAUCAACUCUAGACUCCAUUGCCCUGCAUGUGAUGCCCUCCGAAUGUAAAUUUACUGGACUUUCCCCUGUAUUUUUCACCUACCUGAGUAGGAGCUCCCAGAUCUGGGGCAGUGGCUUUUCCCACUGCCCAAAGCACUCGGCCUUUUUCCCGAAGCUGGCCAACCUUUGGCCACCAUCACUGUAACCCACCUGCAGGACAAGACUCAACAGAAAGAGUGGCUCAGCUAGCUCAGUGGUCCCCAGAUAGCUUUUUGCUUAUUGGUAAAAGAAUUUUGGAGAAUUCUGUGUCCUCUUGUGCAUUUAAAGAUGAGAGCAAAAACUUUUCUUCCUAAGGUUAUUAUUAUUUUUUGAGACAGAGUCUCACUAUGCAGUUCACAGUGGCCUUAAACUCACUAUGUAGCUGAGGGUGGCCUCGAACUCGUGGCAUUCCUCCUGCCUCAGCCUCCCAAGUGCUAGGAUUAUUACAAGCAUGCACCACCACACCGACAUUCUUCCUCAGGUUAAAUAGAUGUAGUCUCUGGAAGCAUUGUGUACAGACUGACAUUUGAGGCAGGCAGCUUCCCAGAUGGACUAACUCACCACCUUUGGAAUCCCCCUCCGUUCCGGGUAGGCCGGACCUAGUGACAGUGAAUAGAAAAAGGCAAAACUGAUGAGCUGUCACUUAACACUCUCCAUUAUAGAAAGACCAAGACUGCUGUGCCGCUUAGCCUCUCUCGGGGAGAGAGGCCACACUGAGCCACCCUGUGGAGCAGCUCACCCUGCAGGAACUGGGAAGGGCCCCUGUCAAGGCCAGUGAGGAGUUGAGACCCUUGUUUCAGUGGUGGAACAACUGAGCUAAAUCUCCAGCCUGAAUGGAUUUUUUUCUUCAUUCAUUCAUGCAUCCCUGGAUAAAUAUUACUUAUAGGAUGAGGGUAUUUUUCCCAGGCUGGUGAGAAGCCUACUUUUCUUCUGAAAGUGGAAGAAACACAAGAAUGAAAACAGGGCUGGGAAGGAAGCACAUCUACCCACACCUUGAUGGCUGACACCUUCCUAGGCAGGACCAGCCACUUCCAAAGACCAGUGACCCUUCACCACCAGCCAAACCAGGUCGGACCAGAAGAGUUGUUCAACUGACUUACAGAAUGGGAAAAAAUAAGAGUGGACUUCAGCCAAUCAUGUUUUCUUCCUUGCAACCUGGAGCAUUCAUCCAUCUGGUAAUACAGAUCACUUUUAUAAUGUUUGUGCUUCACUUGUGUGUUUCUUUGUUUGAGACGGUGCUCACUGUGUUGCCCAGGCUGGCCUCAAACUCAGGAUCCUCCUGCCUCAGCCUCCUGAGUGCUGGGAUAACAGCCAUGAAUCAUCAUGUCUGUUCAUUUGCUUCAAAUUUAAAUUGGUAUUGUAAU
ensembl:lncRNA